rnacentral:rRNA from 1 species
UACGUAGGGUCCGAGCGUUGUCCGGAAUUACUGGGCGUAAAGAGUGUGUAGGCGGUGCUCUAAGUUCGGUGUGAAAUCUCCCGGCUUAACUGGGAGGGUGCGCCGGAAACUGGAGUGCUCGAGCGUGGGAGAGGAAAGCGGAAUUCCUGGUGUAGCGGUGAAAUGCGUAGAUAUCAGGAGGAACACCUGCGGUGUAGACGGCUUUCUGGACCAUUGCUGACGCUGAGACACGAAAGCGUGGGUAGCAAACAGG